rnacentral:rRNA from 1 species
CCUACGGCGGGCAGCAGUGGGGAAUAUUGGACAAUGGGCGAAAGCCUGAUCCAGCCAUGCCGCGUGUGUGAAGAAGGCCUUCGGGUUGUAAAGCACUUUCAGUGGGGAAGAAAGCCUUGGGGCUAAUACCCUCGAGGAAGGACAUCACCCACAGAAGAAGCACCGGCUAACUCCGUGCCAGCAGCCGCGGUAAUACGGAGGGUGCGAGCGUUAAUCGGAAUUACUGGGCGUAAAGCGCGCGUAGGCGGUCUGAUAAGCCGGUUGUGAAAGCCCCGGGCUCAACCUGGGAACGGCAUCCGGAACUGUCAGGCUAGAGUGCAGGAGAGGAAGGUAGAAUUCCCGGUGUAGCGGUGAAAUGCGUAGAGAUCGGGAGGAAUACCAGUGGCGAAGGCAGCCUUCUGGACUGACACUGACGCUGAGGUGCGAAAGCGUGGGUAGCAAACAGGAUUAGAUACCCGUGUAGUC